ensembl:lncRNA
GAGAUGCUCUGUGUCCAGCCUGACAGCACUGGAUUCAACAGGUACAGAGUGUUGGAAGAGCCCCAUUUGAAAAUAUAGUUGUGGACUUCACUGAGUGUCCUCCAGUCUGGGACCAGCUGUUGCCAAUUGCUUGGUUAAGUAUUAGAUCUGGCCCUACUAGACACAGAGGGUUCUCCUCUUAUCCUUUAUGGACUCCUGCCUUCCCUUAUCAGAUUAUACAGGGGUUGGGCAACAUUACCCUGAGACAACAAAUGCAGGCUCUUGGCUUAUCCUGGGUUACUAUAUACCAUCCAAGCAGGGAGCUUAACCACAAAUGGAGAUGCUAUGUGGGUAAAAGAAUGGGAUGGCCAACCCCUAAAGUCCCUUUGGAGGAUCCAUUCACUGCCACUUUAUCCACGGUGUAGUAAUGGUGGGAUCUACAUUCACCACAGCGGAGAGAAACCAGCUUCUGGAGACGAGAAUGAACGGAUGGCUCAUCACAGCACACAGUCAUCUGGAGGAAGAGAACUGUGGGCCAGAGACCACAGAGGACUGCAGCCCCACUUUAGUCAGCCAGGGGCAGACUCAGCUAUGUGACAGCAGCUUGAGGAGAGCCAUCUAUCUGGUGACAUAAAGAAACUGUUUCCUAUAUCGGUUCUCUUACUGUCCUUGUCAUCCCUUGCCCAUGAUCUGUUACUGUGACCCUUGCCCUCAUCUUUGCCAUAGGAUUGGCAGAGACUGCACUCGUCAACUAGAAACAUGGCAAGUGACUUCUCUUCUUUUCCCUCUUGUGGGCACGAUAAUUCACUGCUACUGGUUGUUACCCAUCUGAGCCUUUUUUCUACACUUAAGUCUGUCUCAUGAAAUCUGCAAUACUCCACAUGACCAAGCCAUCAUGAAAACCUUACUUUAUCACACCCGUUUCACUUGCCAAAAAAAGGUCUUAGGGGCCUGCAGACAUAAUAAGACUACUUGUUCCAUCUGCCAACUAGGAGAUCAAUAUACUUGUUUCAACCCACAGUGAUCCCCCAUUAAGAAGUAGAUACAAGUCUGGAAAUGGUCCCGUGUAACCAGACCAACUGAAUCCACAUUCUUGACCCCAAACAGUUAAUAUCCUUAUGCCAUGACAUGUGUGAUACCAUAAGUAAUGCCCGCUCAACUUAGAGUGAACCACAUGUGGGUCUGUAUUGGGAACAAGAGUAUAGGCUUGAGGUUGGGGAUUUAGCUCAGUGGUAGUGCAAGGCCCUGGGUUCGGUCCCCAGAUCCAAAAAAAAAAAAAAAAAA